GGCAUUCAUGAAACCAUGUCCCUGUUCUUUCUCUGCAGGUGACUGGAUCAGAGUGAUGCCAGGCCCUCUGCAGCCAUUUUGUGUCCAUGAGAAGAGCUAGUCCAGAGUCAAAGUGGACAUUCAGAGAAGGACACAAAGGAGCAAAUCCCAAUCCCUAGAGGCAUUCCAUCAGUUCACCCACCCCCUGGGCUUUGCACAAGAUGGAGAUCUGAGGUCUGGGCCUGAAACCACAUGCUUCAACCAUCUGACAGCAUUUACUCCUGCACCAGGUUCCAGAUUCUGGAGAAAAGGGCUCAGAAAAGUCCUCCAUAAGGUCCCUCCUCCGAUAAGACUUCUUCCUGCAGAAUCACAUCUCCAUUAAGAGCAUGCCAGGCAAAUGCUACCAACGAAUGGGAACCAGCACACUAGGUUAAACACAUUAUACAGGGGAUGACCCAUGAUGUAAAGCUGAGUGGAAGGAAGCCCAAUAGUAAGUACAGCACAAAAUAGUUCUUAAAAGGAGAAACUAAGCAUGCUGGUGCAAAUGAUAAAUGUAGGAAAGUGACAUCUCCUAGGGGUGUGGGUGUGUGUGUGUGUGUGUGUGUGGUUGGGAUUGCAAUGUUCCUUUUCUCUUUUGUGUUGCCUCUGCACUGAGUGGCUACUCAUUUGAUGCAUAUGCUCAUUGAGCAUCUAUUAUGUGCCAGUCCUCUAUUAGGGAUGCAAGGAUGAUCAAGAUUAAUG
rnacentral:lncRNA from 1 species